GGGGGUGUAACGUCGUCUUCCGUGGGCUGCUUAGGCGCAUCGUGGGGAGUGGGGUUUGGGCACGCGGAGUGGCUGCUGGCUUGACUCUGGAGGCUUGUCGCUUCCCCGACCUGUCCCUGGGAAAGGUGCGGCGUCACCGCUUAGGAACGCUGAACGCGAGAGCUGGUGUUCUCCAGAGCAGAAGGGUUCCGAGGCCUAGGCGCACGUCCUUGUCUUCCUUCCUGGUCGAGCUAGACGCUUCUUCAGGGCAUACACUUACCGCAGGGUGCUGAAAUAACCACCCAAACACACCCCUACUCGUCCGCCCCUCACCGCGUGCUGACUUGAAGGGCUGUUGGAGGUUGGUGCUAAUACAGCUUUCGCUUUCAGGGGCUGACUUUGGAACCCAGCGCACUCCGGGGAUGUGACUGGGCAGCUCCGUCAGCCCUCAGCGAGAACCACCGAAUAGACUUGAAUGAACACCUGUUGUCCGCCAGACCUUGCCGUGGCUGCUCAGGGGCCUCUGCCUUAUAAUUCUGCUUGUUAAUUGAAAUACACCUAAGCCUGGUAAAUGGAGAGUCCAGGAAAGAAUGAGCGAUCCUGGGAGGACAGAAGUGCAGCAGGGUUAGCGCUCGGGAGGGCAGCCUCCCCCAUAGGUGGCUUUUCUCAUAGGCGGCGUUCCUCGCAGAGGUCAAGGAAAAAGGAAGGUCGGUGGGGCGGUCCUGGGGAGGAUGGACUCGGCUCAGUGUUUCCGUGUGCAAAGAACUAAUCAGCGAAGUGUGUUUUAGAGCCCAGUUUCUUUCAUCUGCUACAGGAUUGGAGAGUUCAAAAUUCCCCUAAGUGAUGACAGUAAGAGAAUGGUUGUUUUUGCCUCCAAACCCGGCUUAACACAAAAGACACGACACUGUGAAGAUUAAAUGAAAGGCCCUUGGAGGAGUGUAUGGCACAUAGCUAAGUACCAGCAACUCAAUAAACUGUUGCUAGUUGUUCAGAACACCAAGAAGGAAUCCUAAUGUAAACAAUGGACUUUGGGGAUAAUGUUCUGUCCACAUAGGUUCAUCAGUUGAAAAAAAUAAAUACCCCACGCUGGUGCAGGAUGUGGAUAGUGGAGGAUUUGGACUUGUGUUGGGACAAGAGUAUACAGAAACUCUGCACAUUCCAUUCAGUUCUGUUGUGAACCUGGACUGUUCUAAUAGUGUUAAUAAAAUGUAAAAAAAAAAAAAA